rnacentral:lncRNA from 1 species
UCGCCACUUGGGAUAUUUCUGGUGUCCCAAGUCAUCGGUUAUUUUAAAAUCCCAAAUUGAGGAAAUUGACUAUUAUUUAUGGUCAGUGAACACAGAAGACGGGUAAGAAAUUUUGUUAACCCAGGAGAAGGUGUUAGGCAGUCCCGAGUUCCAUGAUUUUAGCACGGUCACUCAACUAUUAUAACUGGCCUAAUUAUCUAAUUUAUUACAUGUUUU